AAUGAACGCUGGCGGCAGGCCUAAAACAUGCAAGUCGAGCGGAGUGGCGGACGGGUGGGUAAUGCCUAGGAAUCUGCCUGGUAGUGGGGGAUAACGUCCGGAAGGGGGCGCUAAUACCGCAUACUAUUAGUUGAGCUUAGGUAGGAUUAGCUAGUUGGUGGGGUAAUGGCCUACCAAGGCGACGAUCCGUAACUGGUCUGAGAGGAUGAUCAGUCACACUGGAACUGAGACACGGUCCAGACUCCUACGGGAGGCAGCAGUGGGGAAUAUUGGACAAUGGGCGAAAGCCUGAUCCAGCCAUGCCGCGUGUGUGAAGAAGGUCUUCGGAUUGUAAAGCACUUUAAGUUGGGAGGCGUUACCAACAGAAUAAGCACCGGCUAACUUCGUGCCAGCAGCCGCGGUAAUAC
rnacentral:rRNA from 1 species